AAAUGAAAGUAGAGGCACCCGCUUCUCGCCUAAGGGAUUUUGUCGCUGGGCAGAAUAUGACUAGAUCGCUAUUGUAUUUAGUAGCAAUCAGUAUGUGCGGGUUCAAGAAUGAACUCGUUUUUUUGUGUGUUU
rfam:Enterococcus columbae DSM 7374 = ATCC 51263 genomic scaffold acyDG-supercont2.5, whole genome shotgun sequence.